UACGUAGGCAGCGAGCGUUGUUCGGAGUUACUGGGCGUAAAGGGUGUGUAGGCGGUUGUUUAAGUUUGGUGUGAAAUCUCCCGCUCAACUGGGAGGGUGCGCCGAAUACUGAAUGACUUGGAGUGCGGGAGAGGAGAGUGGAAUUCCUGGUGUAGCGGUGAAAUGCGUAGAUAUCAGGAGGAACACCGGUGGUGUAGACGGCUCUCUGGACCGUAACUGACGCUGAGACACGAAAGCGUGGGUAGCAAACAGG
rnacentral:rRNA from 1 species